rnacentral:misc_RNA from 1 species
GAUGAAGAACGCAGCGAAGUGCGAUUAGUGUGAAUUGUAGAAUUCCGUGGAUCAUCGAAUUUUUGAACGCAAAUUGCACUCUCUGGUAUUCCGGAGAGUAUGCCUGUUUGAGAGUCAUUAAAUAAAAAAUCGAUUUUGUUACCUUGUCGUAACAUUUCGGAAUUGAGUAAUCUUAAAUCUUCAGGUUUAAGAGGUUUAAAAUUGAUCAUUUUUGGUAUGAUUUAAGCGUAUUUAAGAUCUCUUAUCACGCGCUUGAUGAGUAUCGGAUGUUUAUUAGGCAUGACCAUGAUCAUGGUUUCGCGCCUAUAAUCUUUCAUGAAAUGACCUCAAAUCAGGUAGGAUUACCCGCUGAACUUAAGCAUAUCAUUAAGCGGAGGA